UACGUAGGGUGCAAGCGUUGUCCGGAAUUAUUGGGCGUAAAGAGCUCGUAGGCGGUUUGUCGCGUCGGGAGUGAAAACUCAGGGCUUAACCCUGAGCCUGCUUCCGAUACGGGCAGACUAGAGGUAUGCAGGGGAGAAUGGAAUUCCUGGUGUAGCGGUGAAAUGCGCAGAUAUCAGGAGGAACACCGGUGGCGAAGGCGGUUCUCUGGGCAUUACCUGACGCUGAGGAGCGAAAGUGUGGGGAGCGAACAGG
rnacentral:rRNA from 1 species